GACGAACGCUGGCGGCGCGCUUAACACAUGCCAGUCGAACGGAAAGGCCUGCUUUCCCUUGUGGAUUGCGGGUACUCGAGUGGCGAACGGGUGAGUAACACGUGAGUGAUCUGCCCCCAACUUGGGUAUAAGCCUGGGAAACUGGGUCUAAUUCCCGAUAGGACUGCAGGGUGGUGCCUGCGGUGGAAAACGAUUUUCUAGUGGUUGGGGAUGAGCUCGCGGCCUAUCAGCUUGUUGGUGGGGGAAUGGCCUACCAAGGCGGCGACGGGUAGCCGGCCGGGGAGGGGGGACGGCGACAUUGGGACUGAGAUCCGGCCCCGACUCCUACGGGAGGCAGCAGUGGGGAAUAGUGCACCAUGGGCGGAAGCCUGAUGCAGCGACGCCGCGUGGGGGAUGACGGCCUUCGGGUUGUAAACUCCUUUCGACCGCGAGGAAGCCACCUGGUUGGAAGGGUGGUGACGGUAGUGGUAGAAGAAGCACCGGCUAACUACGUG
rnacentral:rRNA from 1 species